rnacentral:rRNA from 1 species
UACGUAGGGGGCAAGCGUUGUCCGGAUUCAUUGGGCGUAAAGCGCGUGUAGGCGGCCCGGUAAGUCCGCUGUGAAAGUCCAGGGCUCAACCCUGGGAUGCCGGUGGAUACUGUCGGGCUCGAGUCCGGAAGAGGCGAGUGGAAUUCCUGGUGUAGCGGUGAAAUGCGCAGAUAUCAGGAGGAACACCAAUGGCGAAGGCAGCUCGCUGGGACGUGACUGACGCUGAGACGCGAAAGCGUGGGGAGCAAACAGG